AAAGAAUAUUAGUAAUUUCAUUCCAUGUUGAAAAUGAUUAUCUCCCCUUAUUUUUGUUUAAAUCAUCAGUUGUAAAUAAUUAAUCUAGUGUAUAUAGUGUGUAAUACAUUUUUAGUUAAAGAAACAUACUCAUAUCUAUGUUUUUCACAGAACACAAUAACUUAUCACCCUUUUAGCAGAAUUUAUACCUUGCAAGACACCCAUGCAUAAAAAGUAUGAUUAUCUCCCCUUAAUUAGAAAUGUAUCAAUUGUCAAAUAAGUACUUAUCUUAUGAAUAGAAUUUUAACUACUUUACAAAUUAUAAAAUGUAGGUCCACUCUUAUCCGAAACUUAAUAAAGGAGCUAGUCCCUCCCUUAUUUAUUAUACAUGUAUUUAAAUCCAGAUUCUUUAUGAUUGACCCUUCAUGUUCAUAGGUUAUCUUUGCAAGGUGUGUCUUUUGUUUGUUUGUUGUAGAUAGUUUUUGUUUUUAGUAUAUUUUUAUAAUGAGGAAUGUUUAGUAUUUUAAAUACCACCCAGUAAAGCUGAAAACUUGUAUUUUAUUAGGUACGCAUAAGUAUGUUGCAUUUGUUUCUGAAUUUCACUUUAUCGCUUUUUUUUCAGUAGUAUUCACUACGUCUUAAUGUUGAUUGUUUGAGUUUCACAAAUUAAUGAUAAUGA
rnacentral:lncRNA from 1 species